rnacentral:rRNA from 1 species
CCUACGGGAGGCAGCAGUGAGGAAUCUUGGACAAUGGACGCAAGUCUGAACCAGCCAUGCCGCGUGCAGGAAGACGGCUCUAUGAGUUGUAAACUGCUUUUAUACGAGGGUAAACGCAGAUACGUGUAUCUGUCUGAAAGUAUCGGACUAAUAAGGAUCGGCUAACUCCGUGCCUACAGCCGUGGUAAUACGGAGGAUUCAAGCGUUAUCCGGAUUUAUUGGGUGUAAAGGGUGCGUAGGCGGUCGGAUAAGUUCGAGGUGAAAGCCCGAGGCUCAACUUCGGAAUUGCCUCUGAUACUGUUCGGCUAGAGAGUAGGUGCGGGAGGCGGAAUGCAUGGUGUAGCGGUGAAAUGCGUAGAGAUC